GGUCAGGAUGAACGCUAGCUACAGGCUUAACACAUGCAAGUCGAGGGGCAGCAUGUUGGUUGCUUGCAACCAAUGAUGGCGACCGGCGCACGGGUGAGUAACGCGUAUCCAACCUUCCCCUUAGUAGGGCAUAGCCCGUAGAAAUGCGGAUUAAUACCCUAUGUUGUAUAUUGAGGACAUCUGAUUUAUACCAAAGGUUCACCGCUAAGGGAUGGGGAUGCGUCUGAUUAGGUUGUUGGCGGGGUAACGGCCCACCAAGCCGACGAUCAGUAGGGGUUCUGAGAGGAAGGUCCCCCACAUUGGAACUGAGACACGGUCCAAACUCCUACGGGAGGCAGCAGUGAGGAAUAUUGGUCAACGGACGAGAGUCUGAACCAGCCAAGUAAGCGUGCAGGAUGACGGCCCUAUGGGUUGUAAACUGCUUUUAUACGGGGAUAAAGUGACCCACGUGUGGGUUUUUGUAGGUACCGUAUGAAUAAGGACCGGCUAAUUCCGUGCCAGCAGCAGC
rnacentral:rRNA from 1 species